rnacentral:misc_RNA from 1 species
GAUGAAGAACGCAGCGAAAUGCGAUAAGUAAUGUGAAUCGCAGAAUUCAGUGAAUCAUCGAAUCUUUGAACGCACAUUGCGCCCCUUGGUAUUCCGAGGGGCAUGCCUGUUCGAGCGUCAUUAUAACCCCUCAAGCUCAGCUUGGUGUUGGGGCCUGCCGCACGGGCAGCCCUUAAAAUCAGUGGCGGUGCCAUCUGGCUCUAAGCGUAGUAAUUCUUCUCGCUAUAGAGUCCCGGUGGAUGCUUGCCAUUAACCCCCAAUUUUCUAUGGUUGACCUCGGAUCAGGUAGGGAUACCCGCUGAACUUAAGCAUAUCAAUAAGCGGAGGA